ACGGGAGGCAGCAGUGGGGAAUAUUGCACAAUGGGCGGAAGCCUGAUGCAGCGAUGCCGCGUGGAGGAAGAAGGUUUUCGGAUUGUAAACUCCUUUUAUCAGGGACGAUAAUGACGGUACCUGAAGAAAAAGCUCCGGCUAACUACGUGCCAGCAGCCGCGGUAAUACGUAGGGAGCGAGCGUUGUCCGGAAUUACUGGGUGUAAAGGGUGCGUAGGCGGGGAUGCAAGUCAGAUGUGAAAUGUAUGGGCUCAACCCAUGAACUGCAUUUGAAACUGCAACUCUUGAGUGAGGUAGAGGUAAGCGGAAUUCCUAGUGUAGCGGUGAAAUGCGUAGAUAUUAGGAGGAACAUCGGUGGCGAAGGCGGCUUACUGGGCCUUUACUGACGCUGAGGCACGAAAGCGUGGGGAGCAAACAGGAUUAGAUACCCUGGUA
rnacentral:rRNA from 1 species